UACAGAGGGGGCAAGCGUUAUUCGGAAUUAUUGGGCGUAAAGGGCGCGUAGGCGGCUUGGCAAGUGGAUGGUGAAAUCCCUCGGCUUAACCGAGGAACUGCCGUCCAAAACUGCUUCGCUUGAGACCGGGAGAGGUGAGUGGAAUUCCCAGUGUAGCGGUGAAAUGCGUAGAUAUUGGGAGGAACACCAGUGGCGAAGGCGGCUCACUGGACCGGUACUGACGCUGAGACGCGAAAGCGUGGGGAGCAAACAGG
rnacentral:rRNA from 1 species